GCUGUAAGUCUGCCUGCUCAGAAUUUUUCUUUCUGCUAUUUGUUGCUUAGGGCAGCUAUACUUCUGACUUUUUACUAUGCUUUUGCCUGAACGUUGUGGGACUGUGGCUGGUGCUUGUGGCUGCUGUGGAGCUGCUGUGCUGGCCAGAGCACCUACCUGCAUCUGUUGGUGAGCUGAGCCUCUGCCCACACAGCCCUGUCACCAGAGACUUUCACCAGGCUUUCCAAAUCAAUCCUUCUCCAACUGAUCAUCACUAUGGGAGAACAAGACAUGCUCUAUGAAUGAUCUUACACUUCUGCAAAUGGCUAUUCCUGAAGUGACAUCUAAGAGAGGACAGAUAAAGAGAAUUAGAUAUGAUUCUUAAAGCAGAGUUCCAUUCCAAGCUAAGGAGAGAGAAGUGAGGGAAAGGAGGUACAAAAAACAGAGACUGCAUCUCCACAUCCAGUGGUAUGGAGAGAUGCAGCUUUAGAAGAUACUCUUCAGAAAAGAAAACACCCAUAUUUGUAGGAAGUUUGCACUAGUCACAAAGUGAAGGAGCUGAACAGAAAUGGCAACAGUAACCUCCCAAGGCACUCCUGACUGAAGUCUACAUUGCUAGAUAAACCAAGUGUCCUCAGCCUCUCCUCAGGCGAAGUACCCUCUGGCCCUUUUAUCCGCUUUGCUGCCUACCUCUGCGCACUUUCAAGGAGCCGAACAUCAUUUUUAAUUGUGGAUUCCAGAACUGCAUGCAGUAUUAAAGGGCCAGAGUAAUCCCAAGAAAACAGAAGAUACUCUGAAAACACAGAUGUUAUUCAGUCCACUGGAAAUCAUCUCCCCAAGAGAUCUAUACUUCACCUCAGUAAGGUUGAGUUAGCCUUCAAAAAUACACAGAAGGAAAUAAAAGCCUCAGAGAGCUAGCAAAUCCAGCUAAGCCACAAAUGAGUCAACAUGUCCGUUAAGAUGCAUUGACUUUCCAUCCAUUUACAUUUAGAGACGAGGGGAACAAAAAAGACCUUUCAGUCCAGCUCUGUGUUCUGAGAUUUUGUGUCAGCAGCAUGUGGAAUUUCCUUCGGUCACUUAAUGUCAUCAUAUCGUAUAGGCAACAGCACUCGGGACAGCACAGCAGCGCUGCUUUAUGGCUGCAGGACCACCAGUUGAAAAUUCAUCUGAAACAUGACUUCAGCAGUGCAAAUGCUCAACUUGUUGUUACAGUGUCCUAGGAAGAUCUGGUACCAAGAGAAGAACAUAUGAAGCAGAACUGCUUUCCCUUCUUUUCCUCCCUGCAAGAUGCUGAGUGAAGAGGUUAUAACCCAUUGACUGCCCCCUACAGAAGAGGACCAGACUCAAACUAUAUAAUUCAGGGAUCCUGUCUGGCAGCCUGCAUUUCUGAGAUAAGGAGAAGGCUUUUAAAGCAGAGAAAGAGUACAAUGGUCAUCAAGAAUUCUGAUAAUGCCAGCUGAAGAGCAUCCAAUGGCAAUUAAUAGCACAACUUGAAUCAUGCUAUCUGCUUUACAUCCAUGCAUUAUCGUUGCCACAAGAUCAGAGGAGAUGCAGAAGCCAUCAGCCCAGGACAAGGGAAGUGACAAUCCAUUUGAGAGAUCUGAUGAGAAGGAAGGAGAAUGGUUAGAAGUCCAGAAGACACAUCAGAACUGGGGAUAUAGGUAUGAACUCUGAGGAGAGACAAGCACAUACGUGAGGAAGAGUCUUUUCCACUCUCUGUGUUUUGUGAUAAUGGAGGAACUGACAGUUACCUUCAUCCCUUUCGAAACAAAUUUGAAGUUAUGAUCCAUAAACAAUUUCUGUACAACAUGAGGCCUUGUGGGAAGAGGAUGAGAGAACUGAGCUUUUCAAGCUAAAGAAGAAGAGGCAACUUUGGGGACAUCUAACAACAGCCCCGGUAACAACUGCGAGAAGGUGAUCAAGAUGGUAAAGCCAGGCUCUGCACAGUGGUUUCUGGUGGGAGGAUGAGACAGAAAGGGCACAGAGUAAAAUAAGAGAGGCUCAGGUGAUGUAUAGAGCAACCUUUUCCCUGUGAGGACCUGUGAGGACAAAGGUCUACUGUUGUUCAGUAGAGCUGGUUGCCUGUGGAAGGUGUCCAGCCUCAGUAUCAGGCUGGACAAAGCCCUGAGCAACCUGGUCUGGGAACAUUGCUGGCCCUGCUUUGAGCAGGUGAUGUGUACGCAGACUUUCUGAGCUUGGUCCAAACAGCAUGAUCCUGUGAUUCUGUGACUGUAUGACUUUAUAUGAUUAUGGAAACCUACCUAAAGCCUGCCGAGGUUCUGGUUGAUUGCAGUAGCAAUCUGAUAGAUUGGAUGAGAACCAAGAGCAAUGAUAAUUCUUAGUGAGAAGGGACUUGAUUCAGGAUGCUGUACCAGAACUCCAAAAACUUGCUGAAGCAAAUUUUCCAAACAAGUCAGAAAAAGAAUGUUUAUUUGGCAAAGUUUACUGAGUGUGUCAAAUUGAUGUGUGUGUUAUGACUGCACAAUUAGAAUAACGCACGCACUAACAAAUAGAGAUAUGCAUCUGGCACAUUCCUCUGUAGAGAACAUGCUAUUAAAUAUUGCUUUCUUUCUGUACCAUGUUUUUCCUAAACUAUAUCAAAACUUCUUUAUCUGUUCCCAGAACAAACAACAGAUUCCUUAAAAAGUGAGAUCUGAUUUUGCAAUUGUCAUGGUACAAAAGCACUUCAAAUUCAUAUUAUUACCGUUGGAGUUGUGAGAAAUCUUUAGAUUCUAAUCUGUAAGUCAAAUAAACACACCCUGAUUUAAGACAUAAUGCUGAUCCUUAAGGCUGGCUGCAGGCACAGGUGGUUCUAGUGACUGGGGAGUUACAAGCAAGCUUUAUGCUAUAGGCAGGGAGAAGAGUAGGGGUGGAGUGUUGGGGAGAAGUUUUAAGUAAAUGGGAGUUUGUUAGAGGUGAACAAAUUUACAGGACUAGGAGGAAGAUAAUGAUAAUCUGACCUUCUAUGGCAGGAAAUCUGAAAAGGUAAAGUUUAUGUGAUGAAAGUAUCUAGGAAUGAGGGGAAACGCUUUCAAAAUGCUAUUGGAAAGGCUUAGGAAACCUUCUGAGAGAGCAUCGUGGUGCUAGGAAAUGGGAUGAAGCCUCCUGCUUCUUUUAGUUUAUGUGCUAGAAUUUUGCCUAUAGAAAUGGCUUUAGUGAUUUGGAGUGGUGCAAACUAGGCCUGGUUUAGGUCAGCUUGUUGGAGGCUGGGGGUGUUAUUUAGCCUCUGGCUGCACUGGAGUUGCUGGCCUGGGAGACACAGGUGUGGGGGAGGUUUGAGCUACAUCGUUCUUUCUCUUUUGAAGCCAUCUUUUUACAAAAAUUUCUUAAUUAUUUCAGAAAGGUUCUCACUGUUGCUGUUGCAAGGAUAUUGGCAAAGUAACUUUUCUGCAUCAGACUCCUGCACUCAGGGGCUGCAUACCAGAAGAGGCACAUUAGAGAUGCUGUACUGAAUGAAAAAAGCAGCAUAUGCUAUAGCUUUGGAUACAGUGGAGAUACAAUUCAGACACAACGUUUCAGAGGGCCUGAAGCUUGGCCUUUCCAUGGCUUUUAGGUAUUCCAGCAGUCAGCCAGACUGUUACUCAAGUUUCAGUUGUCUAUUCAUGAAAACUACCAAGAUCCUUUCACAAGAUAGAGAUAGGAAGCAGCAGAAACAGAUAACAGAAGCUAGACAAUUCUUUACUUCUCUGUAAAGAUGUAAAAAAUGUGUAGAAAAACAUCUUUCUUACUGUGUAUAAUUUAGAAAUUUUAAAAUACAUUAAUUGUUAUUUAUUAAUUCAACUGAUUUCACCGUGUCAACCUUUACUUCCAUUAUAUAUAGUGUAUUAGAUAAUAUAAAAUAUUUAAAUAGUUAGAUAUCAAAAUUGUAAAAAUUUUACUUAAAACUAUUAUAUGUAUUAAAUAACCACAAAAAUUAAUCCUUCGCAUAACAAAUAUUUGGAUUUUAAUGGAUAUUGUAGGAAUAGUCAAUCAAGAAUAUGUACAAAAUUAGCUGGAUCUGAAAUAAAAUAAGCCUCUGGAAUUCUAAUUUUGAAUUAAUUCUCACUACUAAGGAUUUAAUGCUCACUAACCCAGAAGAGUGCACUAUUUUUGCACAUACAAUAUCAUUACCUAAAAUUAAAACAAGUGCUACAAAGCAGAAAAUUGUUAAAGUGUGCCACCAAAAUAUAAUGCCAGUUUUCCAAAUAAGUAGCAAAGCUUUAUAUAAAAUUAGGUUGUGCCUCAAAUAAAAAGAAAUAUUUGUUUUCAAGUGUCAUAUAUAUCCAACUGUGAAUGCAUUUAUAUAUAUAUAUGCAUACACAGCCACAUGUAUAAAUUCCUAUGUUCAUUAAAUCCAACUAUUAGAAUAAGUCUCCAAUCGUAACUAGUUAAAACUCACGGUAUUUUUAAAUUCAGUUGAGUAGAGCAAUGUGAAUCUCUAUGUCAAACUUUAUUAAAAUUGUGUAUGUAUGUUUUAAGCAAGGUAUUGAAAGGUAAUUUUGUUAAGGAUUUCUUUGCUUAGAAAAACAGUAUACUGCAUACAGGUACAACCCAUUGUAAUGGCAUUGUACUAAGCACAGUGCAAAAAUAUUAUGGUACAAACACUUUACAAGCUUACUGAAUUCUUAGUGGAAAAAAAAAUAUACACUUCAUAGGGAGAAUUCCCUGAAAUGCUUUUAAAGUGUUGGAGAAAGUGCAAAGAAUGGGAAAUAGCACAUUAUAUAUUUCAUAAAUGGUGUACUUUUUAAUAACUGCUAGCUCAAUUUUAAGAGACAUAAAGUACUUUGGAAGUCCUGCUAUUCUUAGUUAGCUGGUUAGUUACCAAGAAAAGCAACAAAGUAGCACUGUCUAUCUUAAAGAAAACCAAAAGCAACAGAAAACUCAAUAAUCCAGAAUACCAAAUUAUUAAACUGCAGUAGUACAGAUAAAUACAUAAAUCUGCUUCAAUUUACAGUGUAACUUUUAGGCAGUUUCUUCUUUUUCCCAAAUGUGAAUUAAAGAAUGAAUUCUGAAAUGUUCCUUUGAGGUUAACAAAUGUGGAUUAUUAUGGAUAAAGAUGUGGAGAAAUGCUGAAAUCAUUCUUCCCCUUCCUCUGUUAUCAACACAGUAAUCCUAUAAGCACUUUGCAUUCCUUAUAAAGAAAGGCCAAUUGCAUCUGAGUUUCUGCAUUAGGUAGUAAUAUCACUUGACUGUAGUGCUGUCCAUGAGAAAAAUGUCCACGCUAAGGUGAGCACUUCUAAGGGCUAAUGGAAUGUGUUUUUUAUAAUAUACACUUCUAAAUAUGUGGCCUUAUUAUUAUAUUAUGAAUAACCUUAGCUUUUUAAUGGAUUUUUCAUGAAAGCCCAGGAAGUUCAUGUUAAAAAAAAUGCUAGUCAUAAGAAAUUAUGAAAUUUAAACUCAUCAUUGUAGGAAAUAUUUACCACUAGACUACUCAACAGAGCUUGAUACUGCUACAAGAAAAGGCUGUCCUAAUUCUACAAUAUUUUGCUACAAACUUUCAUACUUUAUAAAUAUAUGACAAAGGCAUACAAUUUAAACUAGGUAGCUGUGAUCAGCUAAUCUUUCCUUUGUAGUUUUGUUGUAUUUGUUAAUCAAGUAGAUUUCUUUAACUUUUCUAUGUAUCAUCUAACAUCACCAAUAUGCCAUAAAUCAAUAUUGCAGGUAGUUAAAUUGGCCAUUUACUUAUUACCUGUAAUCCCCAUAGAGGCAAACUUCGAUUCACCCAAAUAAUAGGAGACCUGUUCAGUGCAACACAAGAACAAAUAUGGAAUUUAAAUAAAUCAAAAGAAAAAAAAAACAUAAAGAAAUUUUACAUAUCAAUGGAAAUUACAGCAGCCUUAUAUUUAAAAAAAUAAGUAGUAAAGAUUUAAAAUCAGUAGCUGUCUACUGAGUAUUAGCAGUUUUUCUUUCUAUUAUAGAGCCAAUUACUAAAUUCACGUGGUAGUAAUCCAACACCUGGUGACACCAAAAUGUUUUAUUAGCUUCGAUGGCUGCUAGAAUCAUCCCCCAUGAUUCUAGAAAGACUAAAGCAGUUUGAGGUUUUGAUUCUAGAGAUGCAGAGGAACCAUUAUCUGUAGCAGGAAAAAGAAGCUUGACAGUUCUUUUGUUUGUUUGUUUGUUUGUUUUUUUCUGAGUAAUGGUAUACAUGGCAUCUACAUAAUAAGAACAACAUAUCUUGGAAAUGUUUUAGUAUUUACUAAACACAAUGAUACUUGAUAGAGUGCUACUAGAAUAUGGUACCCUCAGUGGCACAGUACAUUACUGUUACUUACUGCUAGUCAUAUUUUUUUUUCUAAAUAAUAAGGGUGCCCAUUUUUUUUGUUUGUUUGUUUUCAGCAUGAUAUAUAGACAUUAUGGGAAUUCAGAUCUUACAACAGCAUGCAAUCUAGCAAAUCUGUUACAUAAUCAGAUUAAUAAUUAGAAGGCUGUUUUGAAUAUUAAUGAAGUUGAAAGUAACUGAUGGAGAGUUAUAGAAAUGUCAUCAUGAUAUAAUAAAAUAUCACCAUUCCAGAGAGAAUUGAUUUGUCUUCCUGUCCCAGCCUCCCUCACACAAUUAUGUGGAUUUUUGUUUGCUUUUUUAAAUGAGGAACUCACCAAUCAAUUGUUCCGGGUGUGUAAUUUUGAUUGUAACAAUCCCGGUUUAAUUCCUUACUGAGAGUUGUCAUCACAUCAAUGCGAAGUCCAUUUUCAUUAGCAAAUGCACAUGGGAACACAGUCAUAAAAACAUACAGAGGAAAGGGGUAUUAGUUACACUAUUAACUAUAAAAUUUUAUAAAAUUCAUGCAACAGUUUGAAACACUAGAUGAUGAAUAUAAAUAUUUUUAAAAGUAAAAUAGCUUUCUGAAUGUAGUUCUGGAUAUGUUCUGUAUCCAUAGAAGAAGACUGUAAAGCACUUCAGGUUGCAUUUUUUAAAGAUUUAUAUUCAAACACGGUUACUUUUGAAAAAAAAAAUAACUCAAAGUAUACUUUGAAAAGCUGAACUAUUAGCUAUACUGAAGAUCUAGAGAUACUAGAAAAGAUAUCACAAAGAUAAGUUGGGAUAGAAAGACCGCAUGUACUUGUCAUGCUCUCAACAGCAAAGACUGCAUCAAGCUACACUUUGUCUUCUCUUGUGAGGAUAUAAGUUGGGUUGGGGUUUCAUGCAAAAGUAAUUACUGUAAACUGCAUUUUUACAGGCUGUUAAUAAGACAAAAGCUAAAUGGUAUGCAUUAAUAAGGACAUUUCACAUCUUAAGCUUUGUUGGGUACAUCUGGUUUGUCUGAAUGAACAAAUGAAAGAUACUAACUUGUGCUGAAAAACCGGAGAUAAGUCUGUAGGGGAAGUCUACAGUGAAAAGCAUUCCUCCCAAAACUGUCAUUUUAAGAUCAACUGCAUGAUAGUGCUUUAUAUGGCCACUGUGAAAGUGCAUUGAGUAGUUUCACUCAUUAGGCUGUGACACAGCCAAAUUAUUUUUUUCACAACACAACACUUUUAACAAUGUUUUAUGGUAGUGGUUUGGUAUAAAGCUCUCAAGAUGCGCAUGGCCAAAACUAUUGACAAAAUGAGGUACCAUUUGGUUAAAGGUCUUGUUUGUCUGGUAUAGUUUUAAAGUCUGGUUCUUCAUGACCACAUAGAAAACACUUAUCUGAAACUUUUCAGCCAGUCAAACUUUAUACAUUAACAGAACUAUCUAGUCUAUUAAAUGUCCCACAGCACAAUACAAUAGAGUGCUAUACAGAAAAGACAAACUCUCUAGCCAGUGAGUUAUUAAAUGAUUCGAAGGAAAAAGGAACAAACAUAUCGGGAAAGGACUGCAGAAUUAACCAGUAUGCAAAAAGAUCUCUGUGUAUAAAUACAAAACUAUCAAAAUACCCUUGCCAGUAGCAGAAGUGUUGUUCUAAUCCAGUCCACAUACUCAGUCAUACCAUUGCUGUCAAAUACAUUCAUUUGAGCUCACUGCAGUUCUUAGAACAAGAUCAUAUAAACAGUUUAUUCAUGUCCGAAACUCAUUAGCCACAAAAAACAUCUGAACUAUGGGCUUCUUUUCCACUAGAAAAUUGCAUUACUUUAAAUUGGAUUCAUGAAGUCCAAUUAUACUUUGUUAUGCAAUCAUGCUUCAAACUUCAAUACCAAGUGCAUUAUUUAUUCAAAACCAGAAAGAAUAUCAUUGUUUCAAUUUUUGCAAUAUCCCUUCUCUAGCUACAUUUUUUUAUCAAACUAUACAUUCAGUGCUUUGAUUUGAGAUUUAUUAUUUUAAGUUGUAUUUGUGGAAAACUGUAUGCAAAUUAAUACAGAUGUUCUGUACUGUUACGGGGGUAUUAUAAGAGUAUACAGAGUAUUAUAAAGUACUAUUCCCUGUGCACACUUCUCAAUGUCUUAACAUUCAAACAUCUUCCUCAUUUCAUAUUACGUCUUUUCAAAUCCUGAAAUGUUACUGCUACUCACUGUGAAGUAGCAAAUAACAUCAGCUUUAGAAUCCUGCAUAGUGAUUUUAUGAAAAUUAGAUUUGCUUUUUUUCCUUUUUUUUCCUGGUCAAACUAUUAAAAGCAGCAAUUUGAAUAAUACUGUGAGAUUUCUCUCCAAAGAUAAGAUCAAUUUUUAUCAGUUGCUACAUCUUACAACACCACAUUGAUAACAUGUUCUGAAAUAACAACUUGAGAGAAGACAAUUGACUGCAUUGUUCAAUUAGUCACAAGAAAAAUCAGCAGGACCUUAUCCAGAUUACAUAUUGGCUGUUGAGACUUAGUGCCACAAGAAGCCACUGCAAUCUUUGCAAUUUUUCAUCAGCAUGGUCCCUAUUUGACUGCUGUGCCCUAUUGAAAACAUUAAGACUUGGUUUUGGCAAACUCAUUUUCAUUGAAACAAUUUAGGGGGUGUACCUAUGUGCAUACAUAUGUGACAGGCAGCUGUGUCCAUCAGUUACUGACAAGCAGCAGUUUUUCUCAUUAAACUACUCAAGUGUCCUGUACUUCUCUUUUUCAUAAAAAGACAAUAUUCUUCAUGUAAAAUUCAUACUCUUCAUACAGUAGGGUCCAGUCACACUAUCUUAAAGUCAUUUAAAGGCACUUUAUUGUUCAUGAUAGCAAGAUUCUCUUCACCCCAGCUGCUUGGCAUUUGUUUUGUGAUUGAAAAGACAGCCAAAACUGAAUUAAGAUAUAUUUUGGGGUAUAUAGAAUAUAACUAUAAUUAGGGAGCAUGAGUGCUUUGUGCUUUUCAGAUUCACAGAGUUAACAAUAAUUACUUUUAAAUACUUCUUUCUUUUUCUUACCUCACUAUAAAAUGCUUGUAAAGAGUUGAUGCAAAAGUACUGGUAUUUUUUGGAUGGAACAUUGACUUUCAGCAGAAUUAACAUUUAUCAUGGUGAGUCUUCUUAAUAUGAUAAAAGAAGUAAAAGGCACAUACUUUCAUGGCUUUAGCUUUGCAAUAGAAAGGCUAAUUUGUGAAGAAUCUAACCUCUAAGCAGGAGAAAAGAUCAAGGUUGUCUGGAAAGCCAAAGAAGGCUAUGCGUUAAGAAAAUUUCAGGUCCCUGACUUGCUGUGGUGCUGUGUCUAAAUUUCAGUGAUAAUUUUUUCUCUAUCAGUGCUAUGGUUUUGAGGACUGCUACUUGUUUCCACUCUACACAGUCCUGCUCCUUGAAGAGACAUUUAGAGAUACACGUGGAGUCAAAAAAUACCGUUUUUUUGCAGUUCUUGCUUCUCAAGAGAAAUCUUUUUCUGUCUUUUUUUCAGAUGUUCUGAUUUCUUACAACAAGUUUUGACAAAAGAUUCUCAAAUGAAUUUUCUGUACUUCCUAUUCACACAUCCCACUCUCGUGUACUGCUGAGGAAAGUCUAUUUUCUUUAAUUCACUUCACUUCAGAGUUGAUUCUUGAAAUCCUAUGCAUUAGGUUUUCUAGACCAUCACCCUACGUAGUUUUAAUCAAUUUUAAUCAAUCCUCAAAUGUGCAAAUUAGAAUUCAUACUUAGUCCUUUGCCUAACAUUGUAUGAAGAGUUCUAGUUUGAUCAUCCUGAGCUUAGUAUUUGCAGCCACUUUAUUUAAUUCAGUAUUUAAGGCUGACAGAAGCAAAUCAAGUGAAAGCAGGUAAGUUAAUUGAAAAUUGUGUUUGUUAUCAUUCAGAAUUGAUAAUACUCGGUAUUUCCAUGAUAUAAAUACAAUUGGAGCAAAAGAUUGCAUCAAGUGCAAAUAUUUUUUUUUCAAAAAUUGGUUGUUGAUUGUACAGCACAUCAGAAAAAAGCUGAGUAUCCAAUGGUCUAUUUGGAAUAUACUGCCAGCUACGGAUAUUCAAAAAAUUGUGCUUUAGAAUGAUGGACCAUCAUGAGUACACAAUGUACUUUUGAUCUCCUCCUCUUUUAAGUGUUGAGAGAAUUCUGAGGACUAGAAAGUGAUCAUCAGCAUCAUAAAAAGCUCAGUUUCAUGUAUUUGUCUGAUUGUGUCCAGGAUCUAAAAUCUUAAGACAGCUAAUAUUGGAAUAUCUGUGGCAUGGUUAAGUCAGAAGUAUAAGUGUCAGUACACUUCUUAUUUCUAAAUUAUAUUGAAAGGACUGUGCAUUUAGGUGUCUGAGAACUGCUGCAUAGCAACAUAAAUAUUCUCUGGCAGGAGAGUUAAACUUCUAAUAAACUAAUACUGCUCUGUAGCUGUUCUGCCAGCUGAUGCAUCAGGAAAAACAAAGAAAAAGAAAAGAAAAAAGCUGCUAUCUAUGCUAUCUAGAGCUAAUCCAUUUACAAGAGUACAAGAGGAAGAACAGUGAUCCUCAACAGCUGUGAACCAUCCCAGCUGAUGUGGAUGCUAAUUCUGCAUAGCUCCUGUCCUACAUUUUAUAACCACAAAAUAUAGAAUACUUGUGUGGUAGAUUUAUUCUCUGGGAAGCCAUUCAUAGUUCCCACCAAAAUAUUGUUCCUUAUUCAUUUCUUCAUAAAAUUAAUUUAUUUUAUAUAUGUUUAACAAUACUUUGAGAGAACAAAAAACAAAUACUACCAUCCAUGUCCUUGUGUAGGAUCAUCCAGGAGCACACGAAUUAUGUAUAAGAAACAGCUUAGUAGCUUAAGCGAAAAAUUGAAUAACCGUAUUCUCAGACCUAUGUUAAAAGGAACAAAAACAAAUUUAGACUCUUUAUAGUUUCAUUCACUUUUAAGGCAAAACUAACAGGAACUAAAAUAGCCAUGAUACAACAGAGCAAAGGUCUAUCCAGCCUAUACCUGACAUUGCCCUUUGACAGAAGAAUAUAUGAAUAUGCCUGUUGGAUGCACAGAAAAUGCACCUUUCCAACUUCCAGAAGUCACUGGGUUAAGAUUUGAUCCCUUUUAAAGUAGAGAUCUAGACAGUUGUUUUGCUUGAAAGCUAUUCUAUACCAUCUGUUGUUCCUGAGGCUUGGAUCUUUUGUAGUUUUACCAAUUUCUUCUCGAAAGGGGAACCAGAAUGACAUGCAGUAUUUGAGAUGCAAGAUACAGUAGCAUGAGGAAAACAUACUUUCAACCACAGGCAGAGGAUAUCCAAUGGCAAUUAUUUAAAUAUUAAUAUCUGACAGUCUUCAUGUAGUAGUUUCUCAUACAGAAUACAUUAAUACUGUCCUAACAUAAAAUAUUAAACUGUAGAUAUUUGAUGUUGAAGUUGCAUAAUUAGGAAUCCAAGAAUCAGGAUAUCUGAAAGUCAUGCUGAAUGCACAACUUGAACUGAUUCAACAGCUUCUUCUAUGGACCAUACGAAUACCGAAAUGUUCUAUAUAAUAGGUCUCAAAUACUAAAUACGAUCACAGAAUAUUACAGUAUGUCUUGCAAACCAUAGGUGUACUGCACAGAGACAGGAUUCCUCCAAAGGAACCCAGGUGGACAAUUGGUUCUAUCACACAGGCAUUUUAACUUGGUGCUAAUAGGAGCCAUUGUCUACUACAGCAAAACUUAAUUGUAUUUUAAUGAAGUUUUGGAGUCAUUAGAGGAUUAGCAUUUCAAUCCUCAGUCUUGUUAUUAGUCUUAAAAUUAAUGAGGGAAGGCAACCUUAAGCACUAAUUUUUUUAUUAUUAUUAUUAUUAUUAUUUUUUCAGUCGUGAACCAGGAGUCCAAUUCUAUAGAGCUGAGAGGCCUUCUGUCCAAAGCAUGACAUUACUGACUGGGUCUCACAUAGAUCUGAUUUACUCUACACCGAGUAUAUUUUAUUUUUGAAUUGCAAAUAUGGUAUCAAACCUGCUGAACUCAAUGUAACUAUUUCUAUGGUUGAGAACAACAGUCUCAUCAAGCAUACUCAAAUCUGUGUGCAAACAUGCCCUAUGAAGCUGCAGUUAUGACACAAGAACUGGGUGAACUUCUACAGCAUUUCAUCAUCUGUAAGCUAAGGGUUAAAAUCCUGUGCUUAGGGCUUGGCCAUGAGAAGUCCCACAGUUGUUACUGUGUGUUGCUGUGCUACUAUUUGACCAAAACAAUAUAUAUUUUUUUCAACUAUGUUGUAAUCUUGUGCCUUUUUGAACUGUUGGUGAAGAAGAUACAAAUUCUUUCUCUAUGCUAAUGCUUUUAUGGAAGUCUUCUGAAUGGUUACUGUAACAAUGAAGCCAUUAGAAAAAGAGCAGAUAACCUGAAAAUAAAGGAAGACAACAAAAAACCACACUGAAUUCUUUUCUCUAUCCAUUUUGUGUUAUCAAAAGUUCAUCACUUGUUUCUUCUGUUCUUUAACUCUGUAAAUGUCUAUCUUGAUGUUAAAUGCUUCUUUUCUGUAUUGAUAAUGGGCCAACUUCUAAUAAUCACUUGAAUUUAUUAUUGGUCUGAAUUCCAAAAAAAAAUAGUGCUUUUAUGAUUUCAAAAACAAAUCAGUACAAAUCACCCAUAGUCCUGGCUGCUGCCUUAAAUCUUAACUUUCAAGUCUUGGUCUUGAAAGAUUGAAAACUGCUGACAUAUUCAAUAUUAAAAUUCUCUAGAUCUCUUCUGUACUAUGCUUGAAAGUGCUUCAGGUUCUGGAUAUCUCAACUGGGCUGCUUUCCAUAGAAUAAGUGGGGUUUUCACUCCUUAUAUGCAUUUGUGGAAGGCCUCUAGGCACUGACAUAUAUGGUAGUCUGGGUUACAUGGACAGGGCAGACAGUAGGAUCUGUCUUAUCAUACGAGAGUGGUUCAGGCAUUACAAAAGUAAUGUAGAACAGAAUUCAGGUGUAUCUUCUGCUGCAGCUUCUGGAUAUGCCCUGACAGAGGGAGUGCAUUUGGUCGCUCCUGCCAAAGCGGUAAUAAUUUAUGUAAGUAAAUAUUUGCUGGUCAAAAUAUUCUGUAGCCUCAUAGUUAGGUAUGUCAUCUGUGAGCUGGAAAAAACACAUUUGUUCCACUGUUAUGGAGAGCUAAGAUUUCACAUUAGAGGUGGAGGAGGCAGUCACCAGAAGGAUGGAAUUAAAAAUAGUUUUUCAUUUAUUACUUUCUUACAAAGAAAGUAUUUCAUACUUCUGUUUUCUGGUUGACUAUUUUGGUCCUCUACUUUACAUAAACUGCUUGGUUUAAUUUCUUUUUCCUUUUUUCCAUUCACAGACAGAUUGUUUGAGUAGCAGGGUCAUUUACACAAAAUAUCUCUGCUUUGAUAUUGAAGCCUGAAACUUGUAUUCAGCUACAUCAAUCAUAUACUGUUAUGAAUAGUUUAAUGAGAUUAUAAUUCUACCUUGUCCGUGUAAGCGUGAUGUUACAUGUGUUGUCUUCUUCAAAAGAAGAAAUUGGCAAUAACAGUUCCAAAUCUGUUUGUUUUCUGAAGUAAAUGUAACUAUAUCAAACUGAGAAGGAAACAUUAACAUUUAAACAGGUAUCUGCUAUCUUUUUUUGCCAGCAGUUUUAAGUGUAAAGUAAUAGAAUCGGCAUUGAUCAGGUAUAAUGCAAUUGAUUUUUUAAUUAUUAUUAUUUUUUCUUAUUUUAUAACUUCUUGGUACUACCCUUAAAGCAUUUUCAUAGGUAAUUCUCCAAUCUGGAGAUCUGAUCUACAUCAGGGCAGGGGUGAUAGGGACAGCACCUGAAGAUUUUACUAUCACCUUCCAUUUUUAUUUCCUAAUAAAUCCUCAGUACUGCUGGCUUUUAGCAAAGUCAUCUCAGUAGCAAUUGGCUUUAGGAAUUAAAUCAAAAUACACUUAAUAAUUCAUAUCCUGAUGACCGUUAUCUGUUUUAUACUGUCUCCAUUGAAUUGAAAAUUCACUUAUUUUUUCCUUUGAGACUUAUUUUAAGCUGUGUGUGAUCUUGGCAAGUACAAGCAAGUCAUAAAAAUGUAUCUUAUUUAUUUGUAGCUGGCUGACACCUUUUUAAAAUGUCAUUUGUGUACUGUUUUAAUUUUAUUAUAAACUUGUUUACAGAGGCUUGAGUGGUAGCUAAGCUGAAAUCAGAUGUGGAUGGCCUUAUUUUGCUAGUUCAUAAAAAUGUGUUUGGAACUGGAAUAAUGAAUGAGGCAGUUGAUAUUUCAUGCCUGUUUCUGGUCUAAUUAGAUUGGUAUUGUAUCAUAUGAAUUCUGGACUAAUAGCACUGGAGCAUGGGAUAUUACUUCUCACUCUGUGAUGUUCUAAACCUACUUGUGAAGUCUUAGGCUCAUGAAAACUUUGCAGAACAUCUGUAAUUUGAUAUAAUACUGUCUGAAAACUUGAGAAAAUAAUUCAGUAGAAUCAGUAAUGACAGGAAAUAGAUACACAGUAUGUGAAGGAAGGUUUUCGGUGUUCUCACUGAAACCAAGAUCUAAAGGGCCAAAUUUUUGUCAUCAGUUCCCUGAUACCUAACAUAAUCUCCAGUAGGAUCAAUCAACACUUGCUUCUCAUUCCUUAUUUCAAAUAAACUUCCAUAACAUUCCUUUUCCUUAGCCUCAUUUUCCUAACCGAGGAGGGAUGUCCUAGUAUAGUAAUUUUUGACAAUUCUCUUAAUAUACUUAGCCAGAAGUUAAGUGUUUGGCAAUGUAGUGGCCAUGGAUGCAUAGCAGUUAACUAUCUUCAGGUUUCAUUUUUGUGCUGCUUAUGAAAAAUAUAUCUUUUUAAAUGUAUGGUUUUCAGUUCUUCCAUCAAAAUAUGUAUUCGUAAAAGGGUUUUUGUUUUCAUUUUUUGUUAAGAGCUAAGUGGGGAGAAAAAAUUCCUACCUUUAACUCAAGUAAGUAUGUAUCCAUAACUUCUCUAUCAUAUCUGUGAGAAGAGUUUUAUAAUGAGUUUGGUCUUAUUUAUGGAUGUUCCUAUUAAGUGAACAAGCAUACAUAAAAAUCUGUUUUGUGGGCUAGUUCAGGGAAUUAAAAAAAGCUACUUACUGCUUACAGCUUCCCAGAUUGUUUUUCUAGCCAGAAGUAAUACUCUUUUCUAGCUCAGUAUGCCUUUCUGUCUUGUAUCUUAGUCCACUACACACUAUAUGAACCCUCUUGGAUCAGCUUCCCGGAUGCAUGUAAACACAAGUGUCUUAGUUUCUCCACGUAAGUGUCUUCUGUGAUGGCUUAGGAAUUUAAAUGCGUACGUCAAUGACGAUACACUGCUGAAUUGGAAUAUAAAAUUACUAUAUUAAUGAAGACUGAGUUUUUGUUUUUGUACAAAGUUUGAUGCUUAGUUAGGAGUAUUCAAUAAAAUUAAACAGUACUGGAAAAGCACCUAGUUUUUUGUUUUUAUACUCAAAAAUCUUUGAGAUGAAUCCAACUGCUUACUUGAUCUUUGGUUUUUGAUGAAGAAGAGUUUUAGUCUCUCUUUAAAUGUGUUUUCAUUCAUAUAGAAUUCAACUUGCACCCUGAAAUAUAAAAAGAAGGAUUAGAAUUGAAUAAGAAAGACAAUAAAUGAUCAUUUUUUCAAAAUAACUUUCCCUAACCUGUUCUUUGUAUAUGACUGGAGGAACAUUUACUAUUCAGCCAAAGGCUCACUCAGAUUUGAAUGACUUAACAUUAAAAAAACUGGAGUUAGAUACGUAUAUAAUUUAUUCCUUUCACAUACAGAUCAUUUUCGUAAUACUUGGACACCCUGCACUGGAAAAAUUGGAAGCUUGUAUGUUUUUAAAUUUUCACUGCAAGAUUACUUUCAUAUCUGCAUCUUUGUAAGGAAGAUUUCAUUGAUGUUCAGGUUAAAUCUUCCAUCUCCAUUUAACUAUUUCUGUAAGGUUUGCAUUGUAAUGAUUUUUUCCUAUCUUAUUCAUGUAUUUGUUAAGCAUUCAUGUCUGAGUGUUCACCUUUAGUCACAUGCUCCUACCCCAAACAAACCACUCUCUGAACUUCAUUUUUUGUCACAAUAAAAUACUGAGGCCUGAGAGCAAAAUUAUAUUGCCAUCAUUUAACGUUGUACAGAAAACAGCUCCCCUUCCUACUUAUGCUACUAAAAAAACAGUGACUUUUCCUUCCUUCCUCACAAUUUGCCCAGACCUCUUUCAUGUCUCUGUUCCUCAGUUCACUCUGAGCACAACUCAGGCAACAGUGGUCAAACUACAAGGGAAAAGAACAGCAUUGUGGAGUACACUAAUCAUACAGAAAAACUUAAGCAAUUCUGGAGCUGCACUCCCUACCCUAACAUAAAUGCAGCAUUAGCUGCACUUUCACAGAAGUCCUUGCUAUGUUCAACUAAUUAAACUUCUCCCACCAAUCUUACUUAUCCAUUAAUUAAUUCUCAUUCACUUUACCCUAGCACAAUUUCUGUUCCUUUUUGAGAAGCCAAUACUUGGUUUGGGAACCACCAUACUACUCCUGAAGGGACAGCGUGAAAGUGAAUAGGGAAUUAAACUGCUUCUUAUUCAAAGCAUGGUAGAAAAUAAGUAUUCUGUAGCUUGGAGGAUUUUUAAAUUCUGUGCAAUGAAAUGUCUCAUGGAGUUAAGAGCAAAUCCUAUCAUAUACUAGCUUUCCUGCCUUAGCUGGCUCUACUUCUUUUGAGAUAAGAUCUUUAAACAUUCGUUAAUAAAGGGAAGGAAUGCAUCUGUCUUUCUCUUCUAAAUUGAGAGUAGCCACAAGUGUGUAUUUAGUAGAGUUUGGGCUCAUAGGGAUGCCCUAGAAAUUCCCACCAGUCUAGAAGAAAAACCCAUCAAUUAGUAGCCUAUUUCUGAGCUUUGAUUGAGGUUAAACACAGAGUGAGUGUUGUGCUGUUCAAGACAGCUGGAAUUAUUUGCAUUAGCAGAAGUACAGCUUAAAUUAUUGGUAACAUUAAGGAAAGUUAAGGAAACAGUGGUUAAUUAGGAAGUGAGCAGGUUUGUGAGGGCCUGAGUUUUGCUCAGUUCUUUUCACAGAAUCACUGAAUUGUAGGCAUUGGAAGGGACCUAUUAGGGCUAUAGAGUCCAACAUCCCUGAUAAAGCAGGUUUCCUACAGUAAAUUGACUAGGAAGGGUUCCAGAUGGAUCUUAAAUAUCUCUGGAGAAGGAGACUCCACAGUCUCUCUGAGCAACCUGUUCCAGUGCUUUGUCACUCAGACAGUAAAGUUGUUGUUCCUUGUGUUUGUAUGGAACAUUUCCCAAGGUAUUUACUGUCAUUGCAUUAGUGACAGUUUUAGUGGGAAACAUUUCUUGUAAUUUGUCAGCCGCAACAUGAUAAAUAUAUAUAUGUAAUUUUCAAGGAUAUAUUUUAGUAGGUAAACAAAGUGGCAUAAGCUGCUGAAGUGAGGGAUGUUAUUUAGAAGAAGCGAGUACAGUACUGGUGAUCUUUUUUUACAUGUUUUAAACUAAUCUCAGAUUUUAGGUAAGAAAAUUACAGUCAUCACUUACAGUGAAAGAACAACAUGUUAACAGAAAGC